rnacentral:lncRNA from 1 species
CUUUCUAACUCCUCUUCCUCUGCCUAUCUCUUCCAUGCUGUCAUUUCCAAAGCUCUUCCUCUACUCUUUUCUCACUCUAGCCUAUUGUACCUAUCCAGUGGGUUUGCCUAUCACCCACAGAUUAAUGCUUCCUUCACUGACAUUUGUGAUCACUGUAGCUGUUCAGCAUCUUCCUUUACUGCAUUGGUACAUUUCCCAUGGUCAUCCCUCCUGGAUUCGGAAAGGGCCAGAUACUAGUUUUACCUAGCCCCACUAACAGCUGGGGUGCUAGCCCAUGACCCAGACUUCUCCAGAUUUACCCGCCUGAGGCAGGGCCUCCUCAAGCUGAUGCCACAAGGAAGCAAAGAAGUUGAAGAAUCUGUCCUGGGGGACCACAGCAGUACUGUAGCAGGAGAUGAGAGAACUCAACAAGGCGUGGCAGGCAAUGCCUUUCCGCAGGACAAGGAAAUUCAGACCAGACGGUGAGGAAAAGAACCUGCUCAGUUAAUGGUAUGGCUGCACAACACACAAACUGAACUAAAAUUACAGAAGCUUCUCGAAGUUGUACGCAUAUAGUACCAAAAAAGAGGAAACUGAAGAGAGACAAAUGCAAGGUGGUCCUGAGGCAGGUCGCAGUAAAAGGACGAGGUUAGACCCAAAUGUUGCAGAAACAGCCUUCACCUCAGAGUCAGGGGCCCAAGAUGACACUCCAGGCUCAGCCACACGCUGCCAGGUAAAACGUGUUGGGUUCCCUUCCUGGGCUGCGUUUCCUCAAACACGAAAGACCCCCAAAUUCUGAUCCUUUCACUGGCAACAAGUUAUAAAACUAUGAAGAAAAGGAAGUAAACAUUAAAUCAGGGCAGGGGUGGGGUCACAUACACUUGCCUGAUUUGGAUCAAUGCACUAUAAAAAAGACGAGAAGAAACUCAGGAUUUGGGCCAGUGGCUCAUGCCUGUAAUCCUAGCACACUGAGAGGCCAAGGCAAGCGGAUCACUUGAGCCCAGGAGUUCA